CAGUCGAACGGAAAGGCCAGUGCUUGCACUGGUACUCGAGUGGCGAACGGGUGAGUAACACGUGGGUGAUCUGCCCUGCACUUCGGGAUAAGCCUGGGAAACUGGGUCUAAUACCGGAUAGGACCACAUUUUGGAUGGUGUGGUGGAAAGUUUUUCGGUGUGGGAUGAGCUCGCGGCCUAUCAGCUUGUUGGUGGGGUAAUGGCCUACCAAGGCGUCGACGGGUAGCCGGCCUGAGAGGGUGUACGGCCACAUUGGGACUGAGAUACGGCCCAGACUCCUACGGGAGGCAGCAGUGGGGAAUAUUGCACAAUGGGCGCAAGCCUGAUGCAGCGACGCCGCGUGGGGGAUGACGGCCUUCGGGUUGUAAACUCCUUUCGCUAGGGACGAAGCGUAUUUGUGACGGUACCUGGAGAAGAAGCACCGGCUAACUACGUGCCAGCAGCCGCGGUAAUACGUAGGGUGCGAGCGUUGUCCGGAAUUACUGGGCGUAAAGAGCUCGUAGGUGGUUUGUCGCGUCGUUUGUGUAAGCCCGCAGCUUAACUGCGGGACUGCAGGCGAUACGGGCAUAACUUGAGUGCUGUAGGGGAGACUGGAAUUCCUGGUGUAGCGGUGGAAUGCGCAGAUAUCAGGAGGAACACCGAUGGCGAAGGCAGGUCUCU
rnacentral:rRNA from 1 species